UUUUGAACGACUGUUGGGGAAUAUUGAACACGCACCGCGACAUGAUCAGUAUGAAUGGUAAGAUAUUCAUUGUUAUUCUGGCUCUCGGAACUAUGGUUCUGCUGAACCCAGCAUAUGCAAAGCCAUAUGGAAAAAUCGAUGAUAAUAUGUCUUUUGCAAGAGUUUUGCGAAGCGUUGAGAAACGGCAAGGAGACCAAGAUUGUUGUGAUCUAGCAUACUAUUAUUUGUGUCCGACUGGUUCACCACUCUGUUAAUUGGAGACAGUAAAGUGUAUACAUAUGCAAUUGUAAUCUAUGUAGUUUAAAAAUAUAAUAUUGUAUAUUAGAACUCCGAGUCUAAUAAAUCUGCAAAUUUAAA